GCCAGCGUAGCUCAGUUGGUAGAGCAUCGGUUUCGUAAACCGGAGGUCAAGGGUUCGAGUCCCUUCGCUGGCUCCA
rnacentral:tRNA from 1 species